UACGUAGGGUGCAAGCGUUGUCCGGAAUUAUUGGGCGUAAAGAGCUCGUAGGCGGUGUGUCACGUCGGCCGUGAAAACCUGCAGCUUAACUGUGGGCGUGCGGUCGAUACGGGCAUCACUGGAGUUCGGCAGGGGAGACUGGAAUUCCUGGUGUAGCGGUGAAAUGCGCAGAUAUCAGGAGGAACACCGGUGGCGAAGGCGGGUCUCUGGACAGUUCCUGACACUGAGGCACGAAGGCCAGGGGAGCAAACGGG
rnacentral:rRNA from 1 species